rfam:Clostridium sp. DMHC 10 contig_15, whole genome shotgun sequence.
UGGGAAGUAUCCAAACGGAACUUCACCUUAGAAUUUUUUUAAUUGUAUUUUAUAUUUUUCUUGGAUCUUUUAAAUGAGAUAGG